rnacentral:rRNA from 1 species
CACACCGCCCGUCANACCAUGGGAGUUGGAUUCACUCGAAGGCGUUGAGCUAACCCGCAAGGGAGGCAGGCGACCACAGUGGGUUUAGCGACUGGGGUG